rnacentral:tRNA from 1 species
AGUACAGUGCCAGAGUUAUGGGCCGCCUUGAUGUGGUGAGAACGGUGGUUAAGCCCACCCUGUGCUC